CCAACCUGGAGACAGAUAGGGAGCGGUUUUUGAAAGAAAUUAUCUCUGUUUUUUGAUUCCUUGAUAACCCCUUUAACUAGUACAUUGAUUCCACAGCUACAGCGGGUGAAAUAAGUAUUGAACUCAUCACCAUUUUUCUUACUAAAUAUAUUUCCAAAGGUGCUGUGGACAUGAACAUUUCAACAGAUGUUGGGAAAAACCCAAGUAAUCCAUACAUAUAUAGAAACCAAAAUAGAUCAUCUAAAAAAUUAAGUUAUGUGUAAUAAUGUGACAUGACACAUGAAAAAAGUAUUGAACAUGCUUACUGAUUAUUAUUAUUUAUGUAAUACUUUGUACAAAAGCCUUUGUUGGUAACGAAAUCUUCAAGCCAUCUCCUGUAUGGAGAAACUAGUUGCAUGCAUUGCUCUGGUGUCAUUUUGGCUCAUUCUUUGGCUCAGUUUUCAAAUCUUGAAGGUUACAUGGGCCUCUUCUAUGAAUCAUGACAUUCAGUUCUUUCCAUAGAAUUUCAAUGGCAUUUAAGUCAGGGGACUAGGUGGGUCAUUCUAGCCGCUUAAUUUUCUUUGUUUCAAACUAUUUGACAGUUUCCUUGGCUGUGUGUUUGGGAUCAUUGUCUUGCUGAAAUGUCCACCGUCAUUUCAUCGAUAUCAUCCAGGUAGAUGGCAGCAGUAUUUGCCCAUUCUUUCUUCCUUCAAUUAUGUGAAGUUUGCCAGUACCAUUUGCUCAAUAGCAGCCCCACAUAUAAUGUUCCCACCUCCAAACUUCACUGUUGCUAUGGUGUUCAUAGUUUGAUGUGCAUGGUGUGUGUUAUGGCAUCCAAACAGUUCACUUUUGCUCUCAUCUGACCACAUUAUAUUCUCCCAGUAUGUCACUUGCUUUUCCAAAUGUUGUGUAGCAUAUAAGCUUCAAUAUGCUUUUUAUUGAGCAAUGGAGUCUUGCGUGGUGAAUGUGCAGACAGGCCAUGGUGGCAGAGUGCAUGACUUACUGUUUUCUUUGGGAACUGCUAAUUACAGGUCUUUUUGAAGUUCCCCGCAAAUGGUCCUUGGCUGUUAGUCUAUUCUUCUGAUUAUUCUUUCCACUUCCGUAUUAUGUUUUUAACAGUGCUCACUGGAAGAUUUGAAAGCUUAGAAAUGUGCUGUCACCAACACCAUUGUUAUGUUUUGCAACAAUUAGGUUGUGAUGGUCUUUAGACAGCUCUUUGCUUUUACCCAUCAUGAGAUGUCUCUUGUUGGACACCUUGGGAAUUCAACAUUUUUUAGGGCAUCAGUCUGGAUUAAUUUGCACUGAAAAGGGUCUGGAUUGCUUUAUAAUUACCAAUAUAUUUCAGCUGUUGUCUUGGCUUUUCAUGACUUUUUGUACCUCUCUUCCUUCAUGUGUUCAAUACUUAUUUCACCAUUUUUUUAUAUGCCCUUCACUAACAUUUAGAUAGCUUAUAACCUUGCAUAUGGUAUCUACGAUGAACUAGUUAUAAUGUCUUGUUUUUCACUGAUUUCAGGCAUGGUAAGAAGACUUUGUUUUGUUCCUGUAAAUGUCAAACAUGCCAUUAACAACCAAGCUUUGCCUGAAUUUUAUGUUUUGUAUAACCUAAAUGUAUUUAAAUGCCUCCUUCUCUCUCUCAGGCAGCAAAUCAUUCUUUGCCCUCUUGGCUGGAAUUUUAAACUGCCAAUAUUCAUCACAAUUUCCAUGUCCGCUCCCUGUGUGGGUGAGAUGUAAGUGUUGUAAAAAUGUAAAGAUACUAAAUAAACAACCCAUUUAUAAAGCCUGCAAGAUGUCCAAUCGGGAAUGGUACUUAGGCUUGGAACAGAGGUUUAUUGAUGGUUAGACCGGCUUCUUUCUGACAGUGAUUGGCAGUAAGUAUGAAUAUUGUAAUGAUGGUGCAGCACAUAAAAUAGUUGACUGCAUCGGCAUUUUAUUAGCUCCUGGCUAUUUUCAGUUUUUUUUUUUUUUUGGUUGUCAAUAAAAAGUACCAGAGGCUUUUACAAUGGUUUUUAAGCUUGGUACAUGUAAAGCAUUGAAUAUUUUGGAUAUUUUUGUUUACAGUGAAGCUUCAUUGGAAAAUUUUGAAGGAAUGCCAGCAGGAAAUCUGAUAAAUAUUAAUUCCAUAAUAUAAUAUUAUUAACUGAAAUGUCUCUUUAGCACUAUUAUUACUGUAUUAAAAAUAAAUAGGUGUCUGGCAAGUGUCUAUAUACCACCACCAAGGAAAUGAAGAAUUAGACAGUUUACUUUGAAUAUGGACAUGCUGGAUCCUCCAAAAUAAGGUUCUGUUUACAUUAUAUUUUGGGUAUACAUCAGUGGUAAAGGUUGAGAAUUUUCAAUACCAUAUAUAAACUCACCGGUAUUUAUAUACAGUAUAUUAACUAUUUAUUAUCACAGGUGGACUAUAUUUUAUUGCAUUUUAUCUCUAUCCUUACAUGUCUAUCUGGGAAGCCACAAGGGCCCUUUGAUCUGCCUGUCGUUAUCCUUGUGAUAAUAUAAAUAAAUAUUAUAUUUAUAUUUUAACAACAGAUGGAACUAUUCUUAUUUAUAUUCUAACUGUAGAUGGAACAUUGACUAUCAUUGUUUACCCCUAUCAUUAAUGAGAUGUAAUUGCCAUAGCUAGGAAUACCUUGAGGACUAUACCUUUCUUUUCAGCAUAUCUAUGUUUUUGCCUAUCCAGUUGUUGAUGCAAUUCUUAGUUAGGGUGCAUUAACACUACGAUUUGAAUUCCAUUCAUUUAAAUGAGCCGGCUGGAGGCAGACCACAGUUUUCUGUCCAGCAACAAAACCAUAUACGGUGCAAAAAUGAGCAGACUGGAGUCACUAUCUGACUCCAGCCGGCUCAUUUAAAUAAAUGGGAUGCUGCGCAGGUUUGGCAGGGAUACGACAGCAGACGUUUUUUUAAAUUUUCCCCGUUGUGUGAAUAUAGCCUUACUUCUGUAUAUCCUGGCUUUUAAUUGUGAGUUGCACAAAAAAUAAAGGAAGAACUUAAACAACACAAUGUAACUCCAAGUCAAUCACACUUCUGUGAAAUCACUGUCCACUCAGGAAGCAUCUCUGACUGACAAUCAAUUUCACAUGCUGUUGUGCAAAUGAAACAGACAACAGGUGGAAAUUAUAGGCAAUUAGCAAGACACCCAUAACAAAGGAGUGGUUUUGCAGAUGCUGACUACAGACCACUUCUCAGUUCCUAUGCUUCCUGGCUGAUGUUUGGAUCACUUUUGAAUGCUGGCAGUGCUUUCACUCUAGUGGAAGCAUGAGACGGAGUCCUCAACCCACACAAGUUGCUCAGGUAGUGCAGCUCAUCCAGGAUGGUGCAUCAAUGCGAGCUGUAGCAAGAAGGUUUGCUGUGUCUUUCAGUGUAGUGUCCAGAGCAUGAAGGCGCCAUUAGGAGACAGGCCAGUACAUCAGGAGACAUGGAGGAGGCUGUAGGAGGGCAACAACCAAGCAGCAGGACCGCUACCUCCGCCUUUGUGCAAGGAGGAGCAGGAGGAGCACUGCCAGAGCCCUGCAAACUGACCUCCAACAGGCCACAAAUGUGCAUGUGUCCACUCAAACGGUCAGAAACAGACUCCAUGGUAUGAGGGUCGGACGUCCAAAGGUGGCGGUUGUGCUUACGGCACCAACACCGUGCAGGAUGUUUGGCAUUUGCCAGAGAAAACCAAGAUUGGCAAAUUCGCCACUGGCUCCCUGCGUUCUCCACUGGAGAUGCCGUGGAGAACGUUCUGCUGCCUGCAACAUCCUCCAGCAUGACCGGUUUGGCGGUGGGUCAGUAAUGGUGUGAGGUGGCAUUUCUUUGGGGGGCCACAUAGCCCUCCAUAUGCUUGAGGUAGCCUGGCUGCCAUUAGGUACUGAGAUGAGAUCCUCAGACCCCUUGUGAGACCAUAUGGGGGUGCGGUUGGCCCUGGGUUACUCCUAAUGCAAGACAAUACUAGACCUCAUGUGGCUGGAGUGUGUCAGCAGUUGAUGCUAUGGACUGGCCCGCCCGUUCCCCAGACCUGAAUCCGAUUGAGCACAUCUGCAAAAUCAUGUCUCACUCCAUCCACCAACGCCACCACAGACUGUCCAGGAGUUGGUGGAUGCUUUAGUCCAGGUCUGGGAGGACAUCCCUCAGGAGAUCAUCCGCUAACUCAUCAGGAGCAUGCCCAGGCAUUGUAGGGAGGACAUAUGGGCACAUGGAGGCCACACACACUACUGAGCCUCAUUUUGACUUGUUUUAAGGACAUUACAUCAAAGUUGGAUGAGCCUGUAGUGUGGCUUUCCACUUUAAUUUUGAGUGAGACUCCAUGGGUUGAUAAAUUUGAAUUCCAUUGAUAAUUUUUGUGUGAUUUUGUUGUCAGCACAUUCAACUGUGUAAAGACAAAAGUAUUUCAUAUGAUUAGUUCAUUCAUUCAGAUCUAGGAUGUGUUGUCUUAGUGUUCCCUUUAUUUUUUUGAGCAUUGUAUGUUUAAGAUAUGCCAUGUAGUAGGUUUUCUUGUCGUAGAAAAAUAUAGUUUACAACUACUUACCAGAUACCACCACAACGUUCUGAGAACAUUUUUUUCUGAAAGAUCAUUCAUGGUUGAAAGUUUUAAAAACAACCAUCUUCUUCCCAGAUGAUCACAGUCUAUCUCUGGCCAGCUAAAACUAUAAUUUAUUGUAGAAUUUUACCAAACCAAUAAUUAUUUUUUUUUGGUUGAGAUCAUUUUCAUAAACUUUAGCUGCUCUCUGCUCUGUCUAACAGAUGAGAAAAUGAAUCCACAUGGAUUUGAGAAAAACUGUCUUUUUCCUGGCACUCCCAAAAUAUUUGUAACAAUUUAAAAGUUCUCGCAUUUUUUUAAUGAAAAAAUAUCUUAACUUCAAAAAUAUGCAUUAUUAGUAUCGCUGUAUGUGAAAUGUUAUAUUAAAAUACAACAUUAUUAAUCCUGCACAGGGAAGACUUACUAUAAGAAAAAUGUCAAAUUGCAGAUAUUUGGUCACCUUUCUUCCCAAAAUGCAUGGAAUAAAAAGUGAAACAAAGUUUGAACUACCCAAAAUGGUGCCCUCACUCAGCUCUGUAGAGAGAAAAAUAACAACCCGUUCCUGACCUGUGAUGUACAUGAAAGUCAAAAGUAAAAAAAAAAAAUUCUCCCCUAAUAAAAGAGCCAGGACCAAGACAGGGGUGUUGUUGACCUCAAUAUUGUGGAAAACGUCAUGUGUUGUCCAAAGCCUGACGGCCAGGGUCAAAACCGGCUUGAUCGGAAUGGAUCAAGCUCGGAAGUAUUUUAGCAAUUCUGGUAGCUAUCAAUUUAGCAAAAAUCUUCAGGUCUUGAUUCAACAGCGAAAUCGGCCUUUCAUUUUGAGGAGCCAUCAGUGAUUUACCCGGCUUAAAAAUCAAAGCCUGAAGAUUCUCUUUAGGAAAGGCCCCCUUGAGAACAGCCGAGUUAUAAAAAUUCGGGUAACAAAACAUCCAAAUAAGUUUGAUAAUAAAGGCUGAUAAACCUAUCAGGGCCAGGGGCUUUCUGUGAAGGGAUAGAGCGGAUCACUUUCUUUAUCUUGUCAGGGGUAAUGGUAGUAUUUAAGGAUGCAAGUUCGUCUUCACUGAGGUGAAGAAGGUUAAGAGUGGAGAGGAAAGAUGAGAUGGAGGAAGGGAGGUCAGGACGGUCAGGGAUAGAAUGAUCUAAGUUGUAGAGAGAGGAGUACAAAGCUUGAAAGCCAUUAGCAAGUCUUCAGGGGUGUAAAGAGUAGUGCCAGAAGGGGGAUGAACAAGAUGGGCAACACAGGAUCGGCAUGAGUAAUUUUCCAGCGGUUUGCCAGAAGGGCACCUGCCUUAUCAUUUUGAGAAGAAUAUUGUGCCUUAACAUGCCUAAGGUUUUCCUCAUAAGUGAAUAGUAUUAGCUUCCUAAGUUCCUGUCAGACAGACAACAGCUGGGCAGAAGUUGCCGGAGAAGCAGUGGUUUUAUUAAGUGUCUCCAGAUUGCGUAUCUGUGAAUUGUUUGUCCCUUUGUCAUUUACAGAAGGCACCAUAUUUAAUUGAAAAAGCCCCUCAUAUAAGCCUUGUGACAGUUCCAUGCAAUCAUUGGGUCUACAUCAGAGGAGGCAUUGGUUUGGAAAUAUUGAGAGAGGUCCGUACGAAGAGACUGGGCAUGCUUCAGAUGAGAAAUCAGAAAAGGGCUAGCUCUCCAUAGAUAAGCAGGAGUUGGAGGAAAGUUCUCCUGUAAGGAGAGAGUGAUAGCCGCAUGCUCCAACCAUUUGAUUGUUUUUAUAGUAGAGUCAGCUAGGACAUCUAGAUAGACACGUUCAAACCAAAAAUAUGUUCAGUCUCAAGUACGUGUUGUGAGUGACGGAAUGGUGGGUAUAAUCCCUCUCAUUGGAAUCCAUUAUGCGCCAUACAUCAUACAAUUCAGCAGACCACAUUAAUUGACUGAGUGAGGUCGAAGGGGUGCAUUGUGAAGUAUUGGUAUCUAGGGUAGAGUCCAAUACUAAAUUAAAGUCCCCACAAACUAUCAUAGGGCCUGCUUUAUGUUGGGAGGCUAUUUUGAGAGCACAGCGUAAAAAACGCACUUGCCGCGGUUAGGUGCAUAAAAGGAUAAAAUGGUAUAAGGUGCAUUAUUGAUAGAGCACAUUAGGAGAACAAAACGAACACCACGAUCGGAGAUACCAUUAGUUACUGAAAAAGCUACAGUUUUCCUAAUUGCUAUUAAAACCCCUCUUGACUUGGAGGAAAAGUAGGACUGAAACAUGUGGGGAUAAGCUUGGAGUUUGACACAGUGUGCAUCAGUGCGAAGUGUGUCUCCUGAGCACAAAUUAUGUCACCCCUAAAGAAAGGGCUUCUGUCCAGAAAAAGGCUCUGUUGUGUGGACUGUUAAGACCGUUCACAUUUAGGCUAAUGAGUUUGAUAACCAUAAGAACAAUUCCAGGAAUUAUAUAAUACAGCUAGAUUUCAGGAAAAAGGGGGACCCAGUGUGCCUCCCAGCCAGCAUGCAUGGGUCACAAUAGUAUGGGCAACGCAUGUAAGACAUGAAAUAUGUCCACCAAUAAUAUUGUAGAACAUUACAAACAUUAUAAAACAAACAGUCAUCAACAAAAGAGAAGUGUUGAAGAAAAAAGAUUAGAAACCAUGGCAAAAGCCAGUAAGCACAGGUAGGGCGAAUGUUCAUGCCGAAGCCAAAGACUGGUAGAACACAUCAGCUCAGGUGUAGACAGAGAGCACAAAAAAGCACAAAAGUCACCUUACAGUAGACCAGUCAUCUCGGAAUUUGUGGGCUGGGGCUGGUUGAGAAUCUCGAGGAAGCUCUAGCGGGAUGUUCCAGCGGUGUAGCAGGUCUUGCCCUUCUUCCAGGGACCAAACAACCGAUAUUUGGUUGUCCCUGCGGAUGAGAAGAUGGACUGGGAAGCCCCAUCUGUACUGUACUUACGAAGAGCACUGGUCACAGGUUGGAGAUUUCUGCACAGUUGCAGCGUGGCAGCAGAGAGGUCUGCAUACAGGGACAAUUGAUGAUAGGGAGCAGGUAAGCCAUCAUUUUUGCGUGGCAGUUCCAUGAGGCGCUCUUUAGUAGAAAAGAAAUGAAUCCGUGCUAGAACGUCUAGAUGUUGGGGUCUGGGGACAUGGUCCACUUCCAGUUCUUGAGGUGAGCAAGAGGGUAGGACGGUUUCUAGAAGCGUGCGCACAUAUUGCAUUAUGUCUGCUGGAGGGACCGAUUCAGAGAUCCCCCUGAUUUUCACAUUAUUUUGGCAACUGGGGUCUUCUAGGUCUGCGACCUUAGCAUUUAGAGUUGCGAUGUCAUCUUCAGCUGUAUUUUGCAGAUCAAUUUAGGCAUUAUGGGAGUCUACAAAUUCUCCAUGCUUGCUUUCAAUAUGUUGAACUUUACCCCCGAGCUCAUCCACAGCAGUGGUAAUAGGAGAGAUCAUGGUGUUAAUGUCCUUCCUAAAGGAACGCUGAAGAACCAGUAACAUGUCUCUAAUUGCGGUGUCUGUAAGAGAUUUAUCAUAGACAGACAGUGACCCCAAGCCCUCAUUAUAUUCUAGGGACUGGGUUGUCAACCUGGGGUACGCAUACCCCUAGGGGUAUGCCAGGGGCUGUCAGAGGGUACGCGAAAGCGCUGUCAAAUACCGGCCAUGCAUUGGCCAAUAUUUGACAGCGCACUGUGAGUGAGCUGCGUGGUUGCCGGGUAGACGUGUGACCUCCCCUGGCGUUGUGCGGACUUGCCGCACAGUGCAGGAGGACGUCACACGUCAGUGCGGCCCCAACGAACGGGGCACGCUGCAUCUAAGGUCAGGCCACAGGGGACCACAGGACACCAGCCUUACAGGUCAUUUUCUCUGAUGAAUGAAACCAGAACAAGGCCAUUUUUCAGCACCGGAACAGCAGAUGGCAGAAGAAAUUGCCCAGAAAUAAAGGACUAUAUCUAAAGCGAUACCCGUGACCCUGUCGUGAGAUAAGAAAUAAAGAAGAAGAGCAUCGCAAAGGAAAAGAGAAAAGGGAGAAAAGGAAAAAAGGAAGGUGAAGAAAAGAGAAAAAAAAGGAGAGA